CGCGCAGGCGGUUUGGUAAGUCGGAUGUGAAAACCCGGGGCUCAACCCCGGGCGUGCAUCUCGAUACUGCCCGACUAGAGGUAGGUAGGGGAGAUCGGAAUUCCUGGUGUAGCGGUGAAAUGCGCAGAUAUCAGGAGGAACACCGGUGGCGAAGGCGGAUCUCUGGGCCUUACCUGACGCUCAGGCGCGAAAGUGGAGGGCGGAACAC
rnacentral:rRNA from 1 species